CUUUUUUUUCGCACGAGAAUUUUUUGAGUUUUCGUGGAGCUUCUCUAAAACAAAUUUUCCCAUUUUUCCCGUUUGCCCUGAAUUUGAGAUUUUCGCCUAGUAUCACUUCCCAUUUUCACUCAAGUUUCACUUCCAAUUUGUGCCCUAAUUUCACCUCCGAUUUUCGCCAAGUUUCACGCGACGCGUUCGUCCCAAACCUGUGGUGGAGCGAGACGGUGUUGCGUUGGUGGAGCAAGUCGCUCGCGGUGGCCAGUUGUGAACUUUUUUCCCACAUACGUUGUGUUCAAAGUUGAUGUGUUCAAAGUUGAGGGUUAUACAAAUCUAUCGAGCUUAAAUAAGAAACAUGGUUUCAAAGUCUAAGUCAAACAAUAUCAAGUGGACAACAAUUAAGUUUCUAGUUGCAGAUGUCAACAAUAUCAUGAAAGUCAAAUAAUUGAAGUUAGAGAAAAUUGGUGUUUACAUGUAAUUAGUACUUGCUUAUAGGUUAUGUUAGGCUGAUGUACAUGCUUAUAAGUACUGAUAGGAUAUAUAUGUUAUGGUUGUAUAUAUUGUCUUAUAAAGCAAUGUUAUGUCAUGACACGUAUGACUUAACGAUUAAAUUUUAAAAUAUUAGUGUAUCAAUAAAUUUUAUUUAUAUUAAUAAACAUUCUU